rnacentral:ribozyme from 1 species
AUCCAAAAGUAAAAGUGAAAAAUGGAAACAAAGAAGGAAACAGAUGGAGGAACUUGGCUUGAUGGUGUUUAGAUUGCUUAAGGUCCUUUAUCUUUCGUCAUCGGUGGCUUCGAAUGAGAGAACAGGAGAGAAGGAGGUGAAGGGAGAAAGGGAAAAGGAUGAAAAUUUGGUUUCUGAUCACAACCUCUUUGUCAUCAA